GUUGCUCUGUGUUCUCACUGCAGCCUGGCAUCAGGGUUGAUCUCUCAAGCAAUAGUCAUACAGUCAUACAGUUCUACUCAUCUAACACUAAUCUCAAGCAAGGAUUUUACAGAUAGGGGAUGAUUAGCGACAAUUCAUUUUUUUUCUUUUUUUUUUCGAAAUCUAAUGGAAAAAAGGUUCAUCGCUACUUGGGGAAGACGAGGACAAAGAGGAUGACAUUGAAAUGGAGGAGCCAGAGGAAGUUGGAGCCACCACGUGAUGCUGCUGCCUCUCAACCAAGCUUUUUGACUGGGAGGACACUGUGGUGGACUGUCAGUGCUCAGACCUUUUUGAGAAGAUUGACAUUAUAGACAUGUCACCUGUGCACCAGGCAGUCAAUAGCUGCCACCACGGUGGCAAGGAUAGACAGGGGCUGGAGAGACUGGAGAACAUGCUGCUGAGGCUGCAAACAGGGCUGCGGGGAAAUCACACCCUCAUCCUCACAUGACACAUAAACUCAGCAAAAAAAAGAAGUGUCCUCUCACUGUCAACUGCGUUUAUUUCCAGCAAACUUAACAUGUGUAAAUAUCUAUAUGAACAUAACAAGAUUCAACAACUGAGACAUAAACUGAACAAGUUCCACAGACAUGUGACUAACAGA